rnacentral:lncRNA from 1 species
ACUGACAGAAUGAGCUUCCCAGGGCCAGGAGACAAUGGAAUCUCACUCUGUCGCCCAGGCUGGAGUGCAGUGGCGCGAUCUCAGCUCACCGCAGCCUCCACUUCCUGGGUUCAAGUGAUUCUCCUGCCUCAGCCUUCCAGGUAGCUGGAAUUACAGAUUAGUAAUUUUCCCAAGACCCCCCAAACAGAACCAAAACUCCUCAAAAGCAGAGCCAAGCACAGCUGUGGACCUUGUGGUAUACCCCAAGAUGCUCAAUCCAGAGCCCCCAACCCCUGCUCAGCUGUGUGACCUGAGCUGAACCUCUCUGGGCCCCAUCUGUCCAAUCGGCAUCUGCCAACUUGCCACAGUCCCUGGACAACCUCUCACCCAAUCCUUCCCAGCCAGCCUUGCUAUUCCCUCUGGGCUCCAUAUCUGUUUCCUCUACCUCCCACCUGUACUUCCUGUAUCCUGCUCCCCGCCCCCGCGCCCCCUCCCCCCCCACCCUUACAGCACUGAAACUCUC